GACGUAGGGCGCGAGCGUUGUCCGGAUUUAUUGGGCGUAAAGAGCUCGUAGGCGGCUUGUCGCGUCGACCGUGAAAACUUGGGGCUCAACCCCAAGCCUGCGGUCGAUACGGGCAGGCUCGAGUUCGGUAGGGGAGACUGGAAUUCCUGGUGUAGCGGUGGAAUGCGCAGAUAUCAGGAGGAACACCGGUGGCGAAGGCGGGUCUCUGGGCCGACAUUGACGCUGAGGAGCGAAAGCGUGGGGAGCGAACAGG
rnacentral:rRNA from 1 species